CCUACGGGGGGCAGCAGUGGGGAAUAUUGGACAAUGGGCGAAAGCCUGAUCCAGCCAUGCCGCGUGUGUGAAGAAGGCCUUCGGGUUGUAAAGCACUUUCAGUGGGGAAGAAAGCCUUGGGGCUAAUACCCUCGAGGAAGGACAUCACCCACAGAAGAAGCACCGGCUAACUCCGUGCCAGCAGCCGCGGUAAUACGGAGGGUGCGAGCGUUAAUCGGAAUUACUGGGCGUAAAGCGCGCGUAGGCGGUCUGAUAAGCCGGUUGGGAAAGCCCCGGGCUCAACCUGGGAACGGCAUCCGGAACUGUCAGGCUAGAGUGCGGGAGAGGAAGGUAGAAUUCCCGGUGUAGCGGUGAAAUGCGUAGAGAUCGGGAGGAAUACCAGUGGCGAAGGCGGCCUUCUGGACUGACACUGACGCUGAGGUGCGAAAGCGUGGGUAGCAAACAGGAUUAGAUACCCCAGUAGUC
rnacentral:rRNA from 1 species